GUGUGUGGAUGGUGUUCAGCACCAGGGACAGGUGUGUUUGCCUGUGUGGAUGGUGUUCAGCACCAGGGAAAGGUGUGUUGAUUG
rnacentral:pre_miRNA from 1 species